UCCGCCGUAGUCUAGGUGGUUAGGAUACUGGUCUCUCAUCUCAAACCUGGGUUCAACUCCUAGCUAUAGAA
rnacentral:tRNA from 1 species